rnacentral:sRNA from 1 species
UGGACCAAGACCUAAUAUGAUGAACAAA